UUGGAAUUCAACUCAGUAUUUAAUUUAUCCUCUUGCCAAGUCAUGAAAAGAAUGCACUUAACUCUGGAUCUAACAGUUAAACUAUGAAAUGACAACAAACUAGGGGGAAUCAUUUGAACAACAGAUACAAAUCAAGUACCCCCAUGUGACUUUUAUACUUCAUACAAAGAAAAGGUUAAAAAGGAUACAAUGUGAAACAUGUGCUAUGACUGCCAACAGACAAGAAGUGAAAAAUCAUGAUUAUUUAAAAGCAGGUCAUCAAAUGAUUGUGCAUUCCUCAGUCAUGAAAAGCAUAGAAAAGUAUUAGAUAUUGCUACAGGAGAAACUUCAAUUCUCACCCAACAUGAAGUUGAGUGAUCUUAUUUUUUGAUCCCAUCAAAUGCCAAGGAAUAUUUAAUCUGUGAAACGUAAUAGUGCUGCAUUUUACAUCUGAUACCAAACAAAUAAAACACAAACUGUCCAGCUAUUGAUGUAUCAUAUAUAUAAUUUCAUAAUUGUAACUCACCUCUUGAAGAUGUUUCUCUAG
rnacentral:misc_RNA from 1 species